rnacentral:rRNA from 1 species
AGUGAACGCUGGCGGUAGGCCUAACACAUGCCAGUCGAACGGCAGCACAGUAAGAGCUUGCUCUUACGGGUGGCGAGUGGCGGACGGGUGAGGAAUACAUCGGAAUCUACUUUUUCGUGGGGGAUAACGUAGGGAAACUUACGCUAAUACCGCAUACGACCUACGGGUGAAAGCAGGGGAUCUUCGGACCUUGCGCGAUUGAAUGAGCCGAUGUCGGAUUAGCUAGUUGGCGGGGUAAAGGCCCACCAAGGCGACGAUCCGUAGCUGGUCUGAGAGGAUGAUCAGCCACACUGGAACUGAGACACGGUCCAGACUCCUACGGGAGGCAGCAGUGGGGAAUAUUGGACAAUGGGCGCAAGCCUGAUCCAGCCAUACCGCGUGGGUGAAGAAGGCCUUCGGGUUGUAAAGCCCUUUUGUUGGGAAAGAAAAGCAGCAGGUUAAUACCCCGCUGUUCUGACGGUACCCAAAGAAUAAGCACCGGCUAGCUUCGUG